GGUCUUGUGGUCUAGAGGUAUGAUUCACCCUUAGGGUCUAGUGAACCAUAUGGGUGAGGCCCCGCGUUCGAUUCGCGGCAAGACCC